ACGGAGGAUCCAAGCGUUAUCCGGAAUCAUUGGGUUUAAAGGGUCCGUAGGCGGUCUUAUAAGUCAGUGGUGAAAUCUCCCCGCUCAACGGGGAAACGGCCAUUGAUACUGUAGGACUUGAAUUAUUAGGAAGUAACUAGAAUAUGUAGUGUAGCGGUGAAAUGCUUAGAGAUUACAUGGAAUACCAAUUGCGAAGGCAGGUUACUACUAAUGGAUUGACGCUGAUGGACGAAAGCGUGGGUAGCGAACAGGAUUAGAUACCCUGGUAGUCCACGCCGUAAACGAUGGAUACUAGCUGUUGGGCGCAAGUUCAGUGGCUAAGCGAAAGUGAUAAGUAUCCCACCUGGGGAGUACGUUCGCAAGAAUG
rnacentral:rRNA from 1 species